rnacentral:rRNA from 1 species
GAUGAACGCUGGCGGCGUGCCUAAUACAUGCAAGUCGAGCGAACGGACGAGAAGCUUGCUUUUCUGAUGUUAGCGGCGGACGGGUGAGUAACACGUGGAUAACCUACCUAUAAGACUGGGAUAACUUCGGGAAACCGGAGCUAAUACCGGAUAAUAUUUUGAACCGCAUGGUUCAAAAGUGAAAGACGGUCUUGCUGUCACUUAUAGAUGGAUCCGCGCUGCAUUAGCUAGUUGGUAAGGUAACGGCUUACCAAGGCAACGAUGCAUAGCCGACCUGAGAGGGUGAUCGGCCACACUGGAACUGAGACACGGUCCAGACUCCUACGGGAGGCAGCAGUAGGGAAUCUUUCGCAAUGGGCGAAAGCCUGACGGAGCAACGCCGCGUGAGUGAUGAAGGUCUUCGGAUCGUAAAACUCUGUUAUCAGGGAAGAACAUAUGUGUAAGUAACUGUGCACAUCUUGACGGUACCUAAUCAGAAAGCCACGGCUAACUACGUG